rnacentral:rRNA from 1 species
AACGAACGCUGGCGGCAGGCCUAACACAUGCAAGUCGAGCGGACAUCUUCGGAUGUUAGCGGCGGACGGGUGAGUAACGCGUGGGAACGUGCCCUUUGCUUCGGAAUAGCCUCGGGAAACUGGGAGUAAUACCGGAUGUACCCUUUGGGGGAAAGAUUUAUCGGCAAAGGAUCGGCCCGCGUUGGAUUAGGUAGUUGGUGGGGUAAUGGCCUACCAAGCCGACGAUCCAUAGCUGGUUUGAGAGGAUGAUCAGCCACACUGGGACUGAGACACGGCCCAGACUCCUACGGGAGGCAGCAGUGGGGAAUCUUAGACAAUGGGGGAAACCCUGAUCUAGCCAUGCCACGUGAGCGAUGAAGGCCUUAGGGUUGUAAAGCUCUUUCACCGGGGAAGAUAAUGACGGUACCCGGAGAAGAAGCCCCGGCUAACUCCGUG